ACUCCAUGAGUGGACGUUACACCUAUAACUUUGGCUGUCUAAUUCUGGCACCUUUAAAAUGGCUCCACAACUGGCUACCUGCAUUGACCUUUCUGAACAAGGAAAGGAGUCUGGAAGAACUGAAUUAUAUUAGAAGACAGAUCUGAACCACAUUAAGAAGAAAGAGUUCCACAAUCACAGCAGAUGAAGACCCACUGGUAAAUCUAUCAGGAAUCUUGGCCUGCCUGCCAAAGAAAAGGAGCGGAAAGAAUGUCGGAGCGGGCCGUGGAUGACGUCAGGGGGGAGCCGCGCCGAGUGGCGGCGGCAGCGGGCGGAGCAGCGGCGGCGGCCGCCCGGCAGCAGCAGCAGCC